rnacentral:rRNA from 1 species
UACGGGGGGGGCAAGCGUUGUUCGGAAUUACUGGGCGUAAAGGGCUCGUAGGCGGCCAACUAAGUCAUACGUGAAAUCCCUCGGCUUAACCGGGGAACUGCGUCUGAUACUGGAUGGCUUGAGAUUGGGAGAGGGAUGCGGAAUUCCAGGUGUAGCGGUGAAAUGCGUAGAUAUCGAGAGGAACACCUGCGGCGAAGGCGGGUUGCUGGGCUGACACUGACGCUGAUGCGCGAAAGCCAGGGGAGCGAACGGG